rnacentral:rRNA from 1 species
GUGAUUAUUUGCAUGUACCGUAAGAAUAAGGAUCGGCUAACUCCGUGCCAGCAGCCGCGGUAAUACGGAGGAUCCUAGUGUUAUCCGGAUUUAUUGGGUUUAAAGGGAGCGUAGGCGGGAGGUCAAGUCAGCUGUGAAAUGUAUCUGCUUAACGGGUACACUGCAGUUGAAACUGGUUUUCUUGAGUGCGUAAGAGGCUGGCGGAAUUCGUUGUGUAGCGGUGAAAUGCUUAGAUAUGACGAGGAACUCCUAUUGCGAAGGCAGCUUGCUGGGUCGUUACUGACGCUGAUGCUCGAAGGUGCGGGGAUCAAACGGGAUUAGAUACCCUGGUAGUCCGCACAGUAAACUAUGGAUACUUCUCUGCCGGCGAUACAUUGUCGGUGGCCAAGCGAAAGCGUUAAGUAUCCCACCUGGGGAGUACGUUCGCAAGAAUGAAACUCAAAGGAAUUGACGGGGGCCCGCACAAGCGGAGGAACAUGUGGUUUAAUUCGAUGAUACGCGAGGAACCUUACCCGGGUUUGAAUUGCUGAUGGCGAUAAUUGGAGACAGUUAUUUCCCUUCGGGGCGUCAGUGAAGGUGCUGCAUGGUUGUCGUCAGCUCGUGCCGUGAGGUGUCGGCUUAAGUGCCAUAACGAGCGCAACCCUUGCCGUUAGUUGCCAUCGGGUCAUGCCGGGCACUCUAUUGGGACUGCCAUCGUAAGAUGUGAGGAAGGUGGGGAUGACGUCAAAUCAGCACGGCCCUUAUGUCCGGGGCGACACACGUGUUACAAUGGGGGGUACAGUGGGAAGCUACCUGGCGACAGGUUGCGGAUCCCCAAAUCCUUUCUCAGUUCGGAUCGGAGUCUGUAACUCGACUCCGUGAAGUUGGAUUCGCUAGUAAUCGCGCAUCAGCCAUGGCGCGGUGAAUACGUUCCCGGGCCUUGCACACACCGCCCGUCAAG